rnacentral:rRNA from 1 species
GAUGAACGCUGGCGGCGUGCCUAAUACAUGCAAGUCGAGCGAAUGGAUGAGAGCUUGCUCUCAGAAGUUAGCGGCGGACGGGUGAGUAACACGUGGGUAACCUGCCCUUAAGACUGGGACAACAUCGAGAAAUCGGUGCUAAUACCGGAUAAUUUAUUUGACCGCAUGGUCGAAUAAUGAAAGGUGGCGUAAGCUACCACUUAUGGAUGGACCCGCGGCGUAUUAGCUAGUUGGUGAGGUAAUGGCUCACCAAGGCAACGAUACGUAGCCGACCUGGGAGGGUGAUCGGCCACACUGGGACUGAGACACGGCCCAGACUCCUACGGGAGGCAGCAGUAGGGAAUCUUCCGCAAUGGACGAAAGUCUGACGGAGCAACGCCGCGUGAGUGAUGAAGGCUUUCGGGUCGUAAAACUCUGUUGUUAGGGAAGAACAAGUACCGUUCGAAUAGGGCGGUACCUUGACGGUACCUAACCAGAAGCCACGGCUAACUACGUGCCAGCAGCCGCAGUAA